CCUUCGGGGCGGGAAGCUGACGGAGGCCCAGGAACGCAGGGUGCAGCCCCAGCAGGGAGAGCCCAGGAAUGACGACGAUGCGGGGAAGAGGUUGGGGUUCAUCAUAGACCGGGUGAAAGGCGCCCCGCUGGGAGACGGGGUCCUCAGGCUGACCGGCUAUCACCAGAAAACGGGGCAGGUGAUCAGCACCAGGAACUCCGGGAUGACUUGCUACGCGACCCCUGUGAGAUCCAACAUUAAACUCGGCUACUUCAUAUUCGGGGAGCAGGAGGUGAAUUUCCUGGACCUGCUGCCGCAGGAGGACAUGAUCCUGAUUGUCCGCUUUUACCACUGGCCCAGUGGAGGGGUGGCCACCACCCCGUGGGACCAGGGGUCGGGCGGGCAGCAGCUGCUGCUGGGAACUGAUGCGUGGUUGGCUGCCUGGGCCAUCCUCAGACUGACCAAGCCUGCUGGAUCCGGUAAGCCGUCCAUGCAGAUGGUGUCCCAGACAGCCUGAGGCUUGGGGGCUCUGUUCCCAGCGAGAGACAGUGAAGUUAGUUUCUUUACAUCCUGUCCUUACAGAUGUGGCGACGAAGGGGGGCCUAGGAGCAGUGACCUGGAACACGGGGCCCCACGAUUUGACCCUGUAUCAUGGCCCUGUGCCUCCUGCCCAUACGCUCUCAGUCCUGGUAAGUCUGUCCCCGUCACUGGGCCAACAGACGCCGACAUGAUGGCCCUGGGGUUAACCCCAUUGGAGGGUAAUAAUGGGACAAACAAGGCAGGCAGCUGAGGGCCUGAUCCUGACGUCCUCAUUCUGGCAAUUGACUCUCAUUGACUUGCUUGAGUAAGGACUGCAUGAGCAGGGCCUUUGUGAACAGUGUCAGUCUAUAGGGGAUAUAUAAAGUGAUGCCUAUGGGACCUCCAUGGGCAAUGCACGUUC
rnacentral:lncRNA from 1 species